rnacentral:lncRNA from 1 species
CUCUUCUACAUAAAUGUAGAUGCCACCAGGUGAAUGACUGGACUCCAACUCCCGGCGGCGACACCACCCCUCCAUGUGGUUCCUCACCUCCUAAAGGAGCUACCUAAAGUUACUUGAAACCUUGAUGAGCUGCUUUAGCCUGGUCCCAUCCCUGCCAGAAAUCCAUGACUUGGACCAACACACCGUGGUUUCAACACCGUGGAAAUGUCAUUGAAACUCUUCUACCAUGGGAUAACUGGGAGCAGGAUCAGCCUCCUGGUCCUCAGAGACACCACUUCAUUAAUUAAAUAAACCAGUGACCUCUGAGACAGGAGAGAAAACACGAAUGGAGAGAGGAGAGUGGGUUUUCUCUCCACCGCGUCUCUGCUUCUCCAGUGCUUCCUUCUCCAGCUGCCCAGUGAGGCUGAGCUCCUCCCAGCAGCUCAGGAAACUGCUCCUGCUGGUGAUGGAGUGAGCACAAAGAGCGGAUGGAGCUGCUGCUGCCCAGAAUGGGAGCCCCAAAGGACCUCGUUGGCUCAAGGAGGAGAUAUUUGCUCACACCAGCAUAACCUCUCUCCACUGUCAGUAUUUCCUUUGGUCGUGCUGGGACUUCUGAGGACAGCCCGGGCUGUAUAUUUGCUCACACCAGCGUAACCUCUCUCCACUGUCAGUAUUUCCUUUGGUCGAGCUGGGACUUCUGAGGACAGCCCGGGCUGUUUGAGGACAUCCUGGG